UUUACAGUUAAUCACGGAAAGACUUCUUGAAAACUGACGAAAAGAGAAAAAAAAUAAUCUUUCGUAAAUCAGUAUGUAAUUACCGGUUUUAUAUGCUAAAUCAUACAUCUGUAUGUUGCUGAUGAGGAUAAGGGCCUUGUUUUUUUUUAAAAAAAAAAAACCAAUAUGGGUGAAAUUAAUGGAAACAAUAGAAAAAAAACAUUUGUUAGAAAACAAGGACACCAAAGAUAUUUAUCUCCGGAUGAUUUAAGCACUUUCCAAAAAGACUUGAGAGUUCAAUUCUUUUUAAGGUUUGCAUUUUAAAGGAAAUUAGGGUAGUCAUUCUUUUGUUAACAUUUAACAAAAGAUUCUCCUUAAAAUUUUUAGAUGAUAAAAUGCAUAUUAUGGGUUUGGUUUUAAAAGGUUAUUUGUGAGGAAAGGACCAACAAGCUGUAUUGUGAUUUUCUAGAUUGUUUCCUCAAGCCUUGUACCCUCCUAGCUCCUUACAUUCCUAGUGGGAAAUACUUGCUGCUGUUGCCUUGGGCUGUGCACUACAAGACAGCACUGUUGUAAUGCCCUGUACUAAAACAUCCAAAAAUCAUCAUACAUGGAAGGAAGAAGGAGAAAAGCCUCAACCCCUUUGGAAUAAUAGGAUGUAAAAUUACCUUUUGCAACUCUAUCUUAACAAAAUAAAAAUGGGAAGUUACCAUGAUUUGUCCUAUUGCAGGCUGGUUAUCA
rnacentral:lncRNA from 1 species